UGGGGAAUAUUGCACAAUGGGCGCAAGCCUGAUGCAGCCAUGCCGCGUGUGUGAAGAAGGCCUUCGGGUUGUAAAGCACUUUUGUCCGGAAAGAAAUCCUUGGCUCUAAUACAGUCGGGGGAUGACGGUACCGGAAGAAUAAGCACCGGCUAACUACGUGCCAGCAGCCGCGGUAAUACGUAGGGUGCAAGCGUUAAUCGGAAUUACUGGGCGUAAAGCGUGCGCAGGCGGUUUGCUAAGACCGAUGUGAAAUCCCCGGGCUCAACCUGGGAACUGCAUUGGUGACUGGCAGGCUAGAGUAUGGCAGAGGGGGGUAGAAUUCCACGUGUAGCAGUGAAAUGCGUAGAGAUGUGGAGGAAUACCGAUGGCGAAGGCAGCCCCCUGGGCCAAUACUGACGCUCAUGCACGAAAGCGUGGGGAGCAAACAGGAUUAGAUACCCUGGUAGUCCACGCCCUAAACGAUGUCAACUAGUUGUUGGGGAUUCAUUUCCUUAGUAACGUAGCUAACGCGUGAAGUUGACCGCCUGGGGAGUACGGUCGCAAGAUUAAAACUCAAAGGAAUUGACGGGG
rnacentral:rRNA from 1 species